GAUGAACGCUGGCGGCGUGCCUAAUACAUGCAAGUCGAGCGAACAGACGAGGAGCUUGCUCCUCUGACAUUAGCGGCGGACGGGUGAGUAACACGUGGAUAACCUACCUAUAAGACUGGGAUAACUUCGGGAAACCGGAGCUAAUACCGGAUAAUAUAUUGAACCGCAUGGUUCAAUAGUGAAAGACGGUUUUGCUGUCACUUAUAGAUGGAUCCGCGCCGCAUUAGCUAGUUGGUAAGGUAACGGCUUACCAAGGCGACGAUGCGUAGCCGACCUGAGAGGGUGAUCGGCCACACUGGAACUGAGACACGGUCCAGACUCCUACGGGAGGCAGCAGUAGGGAAUCUUCCGCAAUGGGCGAAAGCCUGACGGAGCAACGCCGCGUGAGUGAUGAAGGUCUUCGGAUCGUAAAACUCUGUUAUUAGGGAAGAACAAAUGUGUAAGUAACUAUGCACGUCUUGACGGUACCUAAUCAGAAAGCCACGGCUAACUACGUG
rnacentral:rRNA from 1 species